rnacentral:rRNA from 1 species
AUAGCGUAUAUUAAAGUUGUUGCAGUUAAAAAGCUCGUAGUUGAAUUUUGGACCUGGCUGGGUGGUCUUGCCGCAAGGUUAGCACUGCUCUGGUCGGGUCUUUCUUUCUGGGGAACCUGUGUGCUCUUAAUUGAGUGCGCAGGGGGUCCAGGACUUUUACUUUGAAAAAAUUAGAGUGUUUAAAGCAGGCUUUCGCUUGAAUACAUUAGCAUGGAAUAAUAGAAUAAGACUUUGGUUCUAUUUUGUUGGUUUCUAGGACUGAAGUAAUGAUUAAUAGGGACAGUUGGGGGCAUUAGUAUUUAAUUGUCAGAGGUGAAAUUCUUGGAUUUAUGAAAGACUAACUUCUG